CCUACGGGAGGCAGCAGUGGGGGAUAAUGCACAAUGGGGGAAACCCUGAUGCAGCGACGCCGCGUGGGGGAAGACGGUCCUCUGGAUUGUAAACCACUGUCGCCAGGGACGAAGAUGACGGUACCUGGGGAGGAAGCGCCGGCCAACUACGUGCAAGCAGCCGCGGUAAGACGUAGGGAGCGAGCGUUGCCCGGAAGUACUGGGUGUAAAGGGAGGGGAGGGGGGACGGCAAGGUGGGUGUCAAAUCUACCGGCCCAACCGGUAACCGCACUCCAAACUGCCGUUCUGGAGUGAAGUAGAGGCAGGCGGAAUUCCUGGUGUAGCGGUGAAAUGCGUAGAUAUUAGGAGGAACACCCGUGGCGAAGGCGGCCUGCUGGGCUUUUACUGACGCUGAGGCUCGAAAGUGUGGGGAGCAAACAGGAUUAGCUCCCCUUGUAGUC
rnacentral:rRNA from 1 species